rnacentral:rRNA from 1 species
AGUCGAACGGCAGCACAGUAAGAGCUUGCUCUUAUGGGUGGCGAGUGGCGGACGGGUGAGGAAUACAUCGGAAUCUACUUUUUCGUGGGGGAUAACGUAGGGAAACUUACGCUAAUACCGCAUACGACCUACGGGUGAAAGCAGGGGAUCUUCGGACCUUGCGCGAUUGAAUGAGCCGAUGUCGGAUUAGCUAGUUGGCGGGGUAAAGGCCCACCAAGGCGACGAUCCGUAGCUGGUCUGAGAGGAUGAUCAGCCACACUGGAACUGAGACACGGUCCAGACUCCUACGGGAGGCAGCAGUGGGGAAUAUUGGACAAUGGGCGCAAGCCUGAUCCAGCCAUACCGCGUGGGUGAAGAAGGCCUUCGGGUUGUAAAGCCCUUUUGUUGGGAAAGAAAUCCAGCCGGCUAAUACCUGGUUGGGAUGACGGUACCCAAAGAAUAAGCACCGGCUAACUUCGUGCCAGCAGCCGCGGUAAUACGAAGGGUGCAAGCGUUACUCGGAAUUACUGGGCGUAAAGCGUGCGUAGGUGGUUGUUUAAGUCUGUUGUGAAAGCCCUGGGCUCAACCUGGGAACUGCAGUGGAGACUGGACAACUAGAGUGUGGUAGAGGGUAGCGGAAUUCCCGGUGUAGCAGUGAAAUGCGUAGAGAUCGGGAGGAACAUCCAUGGCGAAGGCAGCUACCUGGACCACACUGACACUGAGGCACGAAAGC